GCGCACCAGUCGCGAAACCUCCGCAAUACACGAAAGUGUGACGGGGCCAUCCCGAGUGCCGUCCGCUGAGGACGGCUUUUCCCCAGUGUACACAGCUGGGGGAAUAAGGAGAGGGCAAGCCUGGUGUCAGCCGCCGCGGUAAUACCAGCUCUCCGAGUGGUGGGACGCUUAUUGGGCCUAAAGCAUCCGUAGCCGGCUGGGCAAGUCCUCCGUUAAAAUCCAACGAUUCAAUCGUU
rnacentral:rRNA from 1 species